AUAAUUCAAUCCCUCUUCCACGGGAUCCAAUUCCACCCAUGAUGGAUGAAGGCAGGAAGGCAAGAAGUUCGAGUGGGGCAUCUGUCCUGAGAUCAGACAGUAGCUAUACAUAUUUGAGCUCAUUACCUACUCACCCGUUCUGGCCAAGACACAGCUAGUGGAGAGGAACCUUCGCAUCUUUCCUCAAGCAGUGGGGAAUCCUAGACUCUUAGUUUCACACCGCAGACCAACACCCAUUGUACUAGUUCAACAAAACAAGAGGCCU
rnacentral:lncRNA from 1 species